rnacentral:tRNA from 1 species
GGCCUUAUAUUCAUGAAUGAUAUUAGAUUGCAAGUCUAGAGGAGUAAAUAAUUUACUAAGGCUU